rnacentral:ncRNA from 1 species
GUAAAGGGCACGUAGGCGGUGAAAAGGGUGGAAAGUGAAAGUCGCCAAAGCACUAGCGGGGUGCUUUCUUUACCAUUUCACUUGAGUGAGAUAGGGGAGAGUGGAAUUUCAUGUGGAGGGAUCAAAUCCUAAGAUAUACGAAGGAACGCCAACCGCGAAGGCAGCUCUCUGGGUCCCCACUGACGCUGGGGUGCGAAAGCAUGGGGAGCAAACAGGAUCAGAU